rnacentral:rRNA from 1 species
AGAGUUUGAUCCUGGCUCAGGACGAACGCUGGCGGCGCGCCUAACACAUGCAAGUCGAACGAGAGAGAGGGAGCUUGCUUCCUUGAUCGAGUGGCGAACGGGUGAGUAACGCGUGAGGAACCUGCCUCAAAGAGGGGGACAACAGUUGGAAACGACUGCUAAUACCGCAUAAGCCCACGGCUCGGCAUCGAGCAGAGGGAAAAGGAGCAAUCCGCUUUGAGAUGGCCUCGCGUCCGAUUAGCUAGUUGGUGAGGUAACGGCCCACCAAGGCGACGAUCGGUAGCCGGACUGAGAGGUUGAACGGCCACAUUGGGACUGAGACACGGCCCAGACUCCUACGGGAGGCAGCAGUGGGGAAUAUUGCACAAUGGGGGAAACCCUGAUGCAGCGACGCCGCGUGGAGGAAGAAGGUCUUCGGAUUGUAAACUCCUGUUGUUGAGGAAGAUAAUGACGGUACUCAACAAGGAAGUGACGGCUAACUACGUGCCAGCAGCCGCGGUAAAACGUAGGUCACAAGCGUUGUCCGGAAUUACUGGGUGUAAAGGGAGCGCAGGCGGGCGAUCAAGUUGGAAGUGAAAUCCAUGGGCUCAACCCAUGAACUGCUUUCAAAACUGAUUGUCUUGAGUAGUGCAGAGGUAGGCGGAAUUCCCGGUGUAGCGGUGGAAUGCGUAGAUAUCGGGAGGAACACCAGUGGCGAAGGCGGCCUACUGGGCACCAACUGACGCUGAGGCUCGAAAGUGUGGGUAGCAAACAGGAUUAGAUACCCUGGUAGUCCACACCGUAAACGAUGAUUACUAGGUGUUGGAGGAUUGACCCCUUCAGUGCCGCAGUUAACACAAUAAGUAAUCCACCUGGGGAGUACGACCGCAAGGUUGAAACUCAAAGGAAUUGACGGGGGCCCGCACAAGCAGUGGAGUAUGUGGUUUAAUUCGACGCAACGCGAAGAACCUUACCAAGUCUUGACAUCCUGCGGCGAUGCUAGAAAUAGUAUUUUCCUUCGGGACGCAGAGACAGGUGGUGCAUGGUUGUCGUCAGCUCGUGUCGUGAGAUGUUGGGUUAAGUCCCGCAACGAGCGCAACCCUUAUGGUCAGUUACUACGCAAGAGGACUCUGGCCAGACUGCCGUUGACAAAACGGAGGAAGGUGGGGAUGACGUCAAAUCAUCAUGCCCUUUAUGACUUGGGCUACACACGUACUACAAUGGCGUU